GACGAACGCUGGCGGCGUGCUUAACACAUGCAAGUCGAACGGAAAGGCCCUGCUUGCAGGGUACUCGAGUGGCGAACGGGUGAGUAACACGUGGGUGAUCUGCCCUGCACUUCGGGAUAAGCCUGGGAAACUGGGUCUAAUACCGGAUAGGCGCCAUUUUUAGUGUGAUGGUUGGAAAGUUUUUUCGGUGUAGGAUGAGCUCGCGGCCUAUCAGCUUGUUGGUGGGGUAAUGGCCUACCAAGGCGGCGACGGGUAGCCGGCCUGAGAGGGUGGACGGCCACAUUGGGACUGCGAUACGGCCCAGACUCCUACGGGAGGCAGCAGUGGGGAAUAUUGCACAUUGGGCGCAAGCCUGAUGCAGCGAAGCCGCGUGGGGGAUGACGGCCUUCGGGUUGUAAACGCCUUUCGCUAGGGACGAAGCUUUUUGUGACGGUACCUAGAGAAGAAGCACCGGCUAACUACGUG
rnacentral:rRNA from 1 species